rnacentral:rRNA from 1 species
GACGAACGCUGGCGGCGUGCUUAACACAUGCAAGUCGAGCGGAAAGGCUCCUUCGGGGGUACUCGAGCGGCGAACGGGUGAGUAACACGUGAGUAAUCUGCCCUUGGCUUCGGGAUAGCCACCGGAAACGGUGGAUUAAUACCGGAUAUGACAGCUUCUCGCAUGAGGGGUUUGUGGAAAAGUUUUUCGGCCAGGGAUGUGCUCGCGGCCUAUCAGCUUGAUGGUGAGGUAAUGGCUCACCAUGGCUU